GACGUAGGAGGCGAGCGUUGUCCGGAUUCAUUGGGCGUAAAGAGCACGCAGGCGGUUUGGCAAGUCGGAUGUGAAAACCCGAAGCUCAACUUCGGGCCUGCAUCCGAAACUGCCCGACUAGAGGUAGGUAGGGGAGAUCGGAAUUCCUGGUGUAGCGGUGAAAUGCGCAGAUAUCAGGAGGAACACCAAUAGCGAAGGCAGCUCGCUGGGACGUUACUGACACUGAGGCGCGAAAGCGUGGGGAGCGAACAGG
rnacentral:rRNA from 1 species